rnacentral:tRNA from 1 species
GGCAUUUUGGCGUAGUUGUUAACGCGAUGGCCUGCUAAGCCGUUUCCUUUGGGUGCAAGAGUUCGAAUCUCCUAUUUGUCG